rnacentral:tmRNA from 1 species
GGGGCUGAUUCUGGAUUCGACGGGAUUUGCGAAACCCAAGGUGCAUGCCGAGGGGCGGUUGGCCUCGUAAAAAGCCGCAAAAAAAUAGUCGCCUUCCGCUCUUAAGACGGGGAUCAAAGAGAGGUCAAACCCAAAAGAGAUCGCGUGGAAGCCCUGCCUGGGGUUGAAGCGUUAAAACUAAUCAGGCUAGUCUGGUAGUGGCGUGUCCGUCCGCAGGUGCCAGGCGAAUGUAAAGACAGACUAAGCAUGUAGUACCGAGGAUGUAGGAAUUUCGGACGCGGGUUCAACUCCCGCCAGCUCCACCA